rnacentral:rRNA from 1 species
GACGAACGCUGGCGGCGUGCCUAAUACAUGCAAGUAGAACGCUGAAGGAGGAGCUUGCUUCUCUGGAUGAGUUGCGAACGGGUGAGUAACGCGUAGGUAACCUGCCUGGUAGCGGGGGAUAACUAUUGGAAACGAUAGCUAAUACCGCAUAAUAGUAGAUGUUGCAUGACAUUUGCUUAAAAGGUGCAAUUGCAUCACUACCAGAUGGACCUGCGUUGUAUUAGCUAGUUGGUGGGGUAACGGCUCACCAAGGCGACGAUACAUAGCCGACCUGAGAGGGUGAUCGGCCACACUGGGACUGAGACACGGCCCAGACUCCUACAGGAGGCAGCAGUAGGGAAUCUUCGGAAAUGGGCGGAAGUCUUGCCGAGCAACGCCGCGUGAGUGAAGAAGGUUUUCGGAUCGUAAAGCUCUGUUGUAAGAGAAGAACGAGUGUGAGAGUGGAAAGUUCACACUGUGACGGUAUCUUACCAGAAAGGGACGGCUAACUACGUG